rnacentral:rRNA from 1 species
GGGAGGUAGUGACAAUAAAUAACAAUACGGGGCUCUUUCGGGUCUCGUAAUUGGAAUGAGUACAAUUUAAAUCCCUUAACGAGGAACAAUUGGAGGGCAAGUCUGGUGCCAGCAGCCGCGGUAAUUCCAGCUCCAAUAGCGUAUAUUAAAGUUGUUGCAGUUAAAAAGCUCGUAGUUGAAUUUCGGGAUUGACACAUCGGUCGUGCCUUAAGGGGUAUGAACUGGUGUAGUCAAUUUCUCACCUUCUGGAGAACCGCGAUGCCCUUAAUUGGGUGUCACGGGGAACCAGGACCUUUACUUUGAAAAAAUUAGAGUGUUUAAAGCAGGCAUUUUGCUUGAAUACAUUAGCAUGGAAUAAUAAAAUAGGACGGCAUGAUUCUAUUUUGUUGGUUUCUAGGAUCACCGUAAUGAUUAAUAGGGAUAGUUGGG